UUUAUCUUUAUGGUAAAUGUGAGAUGCAGUGUAUGGAAUGUCAAAUUUCAAGUAUGAGAAAUUAAUGAUUUAAGUCCUUCUUAAAUGAGGCCAUUUACCCAUAGAGGGUGCCAGGCCCGUAUAACAUUAAUGAUUACUUGAUGGCAUUUCCAAAGAGUCGUGUUGCUUGAUAGUGCAGCACUAAGUGGGUGGUAAACUCCAUCUAAAACUAAAUAUAACCAUGAGACCGAUAGUAAACAAGUACCGUGAGGGAAAGUUGAAAAGAACUCUGAAUAGAGAGUUAAAUAGUACGUGAAACUGCUUAGAGGUUAAGCCCGAUGAACCUGAAUAUCCAAUAUGGAAAAUUCAUCAUUAUGAUUUUAAUAUAUUAUAAUAAUGGUGUGCAUUUUUUCUAUAGAGGACAUUGUAAUCUAUUAAUAUAAAUAUUUAUCAUAAGAUCAGCACAAGUUUAUUUAAAUUAUUUUGCUUGCAAUUUAACAUAGAAUAAAUGCUUUUGAUUUGAUAAAGUGUUGAUAGAUUUAAUAUAUAGUGCUUGAAUAAUAUUCUAUAAUAGCAUAGAAAUAAUUUAUUUUUAUGUUUAUUAUAUGCACUUAUAUGAUUAACAAUGCGAAAGAUUCAGGAUACCUUCGGGACCCGUCUUGAAACACGGACCAAGGAGUCUAACAUAUUUGCAAGUUAUUGGGAAAAACCUAAUAGCGAAAUUAACAUAACAUAAUGGGAUUAGUUUUUAGCCUAGUCUAUUAAUUCAAUCCCGGGGCGUUCUAUACAGUUAUGUAUAAUAAUAUUUAUAUUAUUUAUACCUCUAACUAGAACGUACCUUGAGCAUAUAUGCUGUGACCCGAAAGAUGGUGAACUAUACUUGAUCAGGUUGAAGUCAGGGGAAACCCUGAUGGAAGACCGAAACAGUUCUGACGUGCAAAUCGAUUGUCAGAAUUGAGUAUAGGGGCGAAAGACCAAUCGAACCAUCUAGUAGCUGGUUCCCUCCGAAGUUUCCCUCAGGAUAGCUGGUGCAUUUAAAAAUUAUGUAAAAUAAUCUUAUCUGGUAAAGCGAAUGAUUAGAGGCCUUAGGGUCGAAACGAUCUUAACCUAUUCUCAAACUUUAAAUGGGUAAGAACCUCACCUUUCUUGGUAUGAAGGUAGUGGUUGUGAUAUAAUGUGCCCAGUGGGCCACUUUUGGUAAGCAGAACUGGCGCUGUGGGACUCAUGCAGAUACCAUGAAAGGCGUUUGAACCAAACGUAAUGUUACGGUGCCCAAAUUAACAACUCAUGCA
rnacentral:rRNA from 1 species